rnacentral:rRNA from 1 species
GCAGUCGAACGGCAGCAUGAUCUAGCUUGCUAGAUUGAUGGCGAGUGGCGAACGGGUGAGUAAUACAUCGGAACGUGCCCUGUAGUGGGGGAUAACUAGUCGAAAGAUUAGCUAAUACCGCAUACGACCUGAGGGUGAAAGUGGGGGACCGCAAGGCCUCAUGCUAUAGGAGCGGCCGAUGUCUGAUUAGCUAGUUGGUGAGGUAAAGGCUCACCAAGGCGACGAUCAGUAGCUGGUCUGAGAGGACGAUCAGCCACACUGGGACUGAGACACGGCCCAGACUCCUACGGGAGGCAGCAGUGGGGAAUUUUGGACAAUGGGGGCAACCCUGAUCCAGCAAUGCCGCGUGUGUGAAGAAGGCCUUCGGGUUGUAAAGCACUUUUGUCCGGAAAGAAAUCGCACUUACUAAUAUUAGGUGUGGAUGACGGUACCGGAAGAAUAAGGACCGGCUAACUACGUGCCAGCAGCCGCGGUAAUACGUAGGGUCCAAGCGUUAAUCGGAAUUACUGGGCGUAAAGCGUGCGCAGGCGGUUGUGCAAGACCGAUGUGAAAUCCCCGGGCUUAACCUGGGAAUUGCAUUGGUGACUGCACGGCUAGAGUGUGUCAGAGGGGGGUAGAAUUCCACGUGUAGCAGUGAAAUGCGUAGAGAUGUGGAGGAAUACCGAUGGCGAAGGCAGCCCCCUGGGAUAACACUGACGCUCAUGCACGAAAGCGUGGGGAGCAAACAGGAUUAGAUACCCUGGUAGUCCACGCCCUAAACGAUGUCAACUAGUUGUUGGGGAUUCAUUUCCUUAGUAACGUAGCUAACGCGUGAAGUUGACCGCCUGGGGAGUACGGUCGCAAGAUUAAAACUCAAAGGAAUUGACGGGGACCCGCACAAGCGGUGGAUGAUGUGGAUUNAAUUCGAUGCANCGCGAAAAACCUUACCCACCCUUGACAUGCCACUAACGAAGCAGAGAUGCAUUAGGUGCUCGAAAGAGAAAGUGGACACAGGUGCUGCAUGGCUGUCGUCAGCUCGUGUCGUGAGAUGUUGGGUUAAGUCCCGCAACGAGCGCAACCCUUGUCUCUAGUUGCUACGAAAGGGCACUCUAGAGAGACUGCCGGUGACAAACCGGAGGAAGGCGGGGAUGACGUCAAGUCCUCAUGGCCCUUAUGGGUAGGGCUUCACACGUCAUACAAUGGUGCAUACAGAGGGUUGCCAAGCCGCGAGGUGGAGCUAAUCCCAGAAAAUGCAUCGUAGUCCGGAUCGUAGUCUGCAACUCGACUACGUGAAGCUGGAAUCGCUAGUAAUCGCGGAUCAGC